GGAGGCGUCACCGAUGGGAACUCUGGGGACAUGGGAGGGAGCACCAGAUGCUGGUCUCAGACCAAAGGAGCUCCUCUCCUGCAUGGCUAAUAGCUCUGUUUCUCUUUGGCUUGAGGACAGGUGGGAAGCCUGCAAGCUCGGGGGGCCCACGGGGAGCACAAGUCCACGUGGAGAAGCAACUCACUGGAGAGGCACAUCCACUCCACACCUCAUCACUGCAGCCUGGAGGGCGUUUUGUGAGAUUUAUUCAAACUGAAGCUCAUGUCCUCUGUGCAUGGCAAUUUCUGGAAUCUACCUGAUAAAACGUGUCCCUGGCGUACAAGGAGUUCCCUGAAGCCUCUUGUGGUAAUUCCAGUGGUGGCAGAAAAUAUUAGUUAUGCCUCCGGGAGAAAGAUCGCUGGCAGCCAUUGGCGGGGCACAACCCGGGGCCCACAUGCAGCUGGGAGCUGUGUGUGGGAGCUCUCCCAGCCUCAGGACAGCUGCGGGGGGCCAGGGGGCCCCCCGUCAGGGUCACGCAGCUCGAGAGGGACGGGCUGGGGCCCAGGCUGGAGCUCCCGUUCUCAUCUCUCAGGCUAUUUCUUCUCCUCGCUUCCACAAAUGAAAGUGCAGGGUGAUCCAGCAGCUACUGCUGCACAGGGCAGACCUCACUAACGAAUGACAGUGCUACCCCGCUGGGCCCUGGACAGCCUCAGAUGCGUCUCCGACAGGGAGCCCCAUGCAGCUGCGGAGAAUCCACUGGAGGAGCCCACAAGCAAAGCCUGUUUGCCACCCCCGACCCGAAAACAUGUGCAUAGAAAAUCCCAGACGCGUGCUUAGAUGCAAGCGUGCCUUUGCUCUGCUGGAAUGUGUUUUGAGAAGCCAGGGAGGAGCACCCAGCCGGAAAUGCUCCCAGUUGAGCCAGGGCUCUUCCCUCGACCUGAAAAUAAUCCCGGGGGCAGUGCCUCCCAGGGCUCAGGCCGUCAGAAGGUGGGUUCUGGGCCCUGGAUGGCCUGCACCUGCCGUCCUUCCAGGUGCCCUGUUGUGACCCAGCCUGUUGUGGGGACGGCAGAUACAUCGUGCCUGGGUGCCGGCGGCCACCCUGUUGGGGAGGGGCAGCUGGGGACGAGAGGUAGCUACUGGUCUGAGCAGCCUCGGAGAAGUGGGACUUCCAGGGAAAUAGGGCACAGCGCUCCAGCCCGGGACCUCUCUUCACUGACCUUGAACCUGUUGACCCCACUACAGAGCAAGGAGGGGGUGUGGGGAGGAGGUGGGCCACUUAGACUCCGACCAAACUGGUAUCUAAGUGAUUCCUUAUGGCUUUGGAGUCCGACCAACCUUGCGGGUUCAAGUGCAGUGCAGCCACCAGAGAACUGUGACCGGGGUCCCCGCCGGCCUAGACCCAGACCUCCUGGCCCCACCUACUCACUUCAUGGCCCCGGUGGGAGUCCCUUCAGCCUGGGCCUUAAUUUCCUCAUCUGCAGAUGGGCAUGCAAGAAGCCUCUGCCUCCCUUUUCCAGAGGGUGGUACCUGGCAAUGGGUGCUUGUGAGGAAGAUGGGGGUGCUGCACCCCCACCGUGUGGGGUGCAACGAUGAGCCGGCCGGACGGGGCCCUGCCCCAGGGAGCCCACUACAGUCUCCAGAGAGGAACAGAAGGAAAGGCGUAAGAGGGGCGCCUGCCUCCAUGGGUCGUAAGGAGGCUGCACUGCAGGGAGAGGGGGUCCAGUGCUGGGCAGACACCCCAGUCACCUCCCAGAAUGGGCAUGUCCGAGCCCGAGGACUCCGAAGGGAGGACAGAGGCGGGGGUAGAAACACAUGCUUAGAACUCCCUACCUUGGAUCUUCAGCGGGUUGUGGUAGUGAACUUCUAGACGGAGAUAUCUGGAAGACCCGGGGCCCCCAAAGGCAAGGCCUGCUUCCUCCGGGUAGUAAAAGGCCUGCGGGGGAUGGGUGGGGGGUGAGGAAUCAGACACAGGCAAACUGGUGUCUCACAAGGGGUUCCUCCCAGACGGGGCUUGGGGCAAACCCACCCAGCUGUUGGGGCCUGAGUUGUGGUGGCGGGUGUUGGCGGGGCAGCGGGAUUAGAAUGGUGCUCUCCCGCUGAUGGGCAGCUCACUACCAGCCCACCCGGAUAUCCUAUUCAACUCGAGGUCAGGGAGUAGGGGGAGCUGGUGUCCCGGGGGUGAGCCUACCCCCCAGGCCCUGCGCAUGGCCCUGCCUCGCCCUCCUCUGCAUCGGUGGAAGCCCUGUGGAUGCAGCCCGCGGAGGUCACAGCACCUGCCACCCACCCGCCAGGACCACCCGGUGCACCCUGUGCACAAACGCCCAAGUCCAGUGGGGAAGCAAGAUCAAUACUCACCAAGUACCUACGCUCAAAUUUUGCAUUUUUAUAGAACAGCCACAAAGGCUGGAAAAAGCCUCGUGGCCCAAGAGGGCUGGAAGAGAGACCGAGCUGGGGGUGGCGUUAUGUGGGCGGGGCCCUCUCCGGUGGCCUCACGAGCGCCCUCUGGAGCCCCCUGCUCGGAGGCCCUCAGAGGUGGGGGGACACAGGGUGGAGGAGUUGGGGCCCCCACGGCUCCGGGGAGGCGCAGGGCCCGCACCUUGGCACCCAGCGCCCAGGCGGCUAGCACGUGGCGGCAGUAAUUGAGAUGGUCAGGCUUCAUCUUGGAGUCGCAGGGCCCGCUGAACUGAGGGAAGCUCUCGAACUGGGCGGUGCACUGGAAGACCUCCAUGUGGUGGACCAGGGCUUCGUUGCCCUUGGUGACAAUGGGCUCGUACUGGGGGAGCGGGAGGGCACUGAGCCUGGGGCCACGGACACCUGCCUGCCCGCCAGCAGCGCCCCCCCCCCCGUGGGCCUCUACUUGCCCAUCUGUAAAAUGGGAGGGUUAAGGGAAGCAAUUUCCAGGGGCGCUUCUGGGGCCCAGGGCUUUGAAGGGGGAGCCACCAACCCGAAACCAGGCAGAAUCUGCCAGAAGCCCACAAAGAGCUCCAGAGUGAAGGGCAUAAGGAUCGCCGCAAGUCAUUUCCCGAUAAGGUGGGGACAGGAAGGUGUCCUCAUGUAAGCGUGGCCGUGGCCAGGCAAGGACACAGAGGCUGCCCUGAGGCCAAGCCUGAGCCAGUAGACCAGGCUGGCCACCCCUGUGUGACUUUGGGCACUCGCACAAUGUCUCUGGGCUGCACUUUCUGUGUUGAGCAUGCACCACUGUGGAGAUGGAGGGGGUCCCUGCCUCCCUGUCCCCCAGGGCCAGGAAGAGAGCUGUUGCCCUCACAUCGUAUCUCUGGGUGGGUGUUUAGAGCAAUUGAGCUGCCUUUUCAUGAAGGGGGAUGUGACCUGACAGAUAGACAGAGGCCCUUCUAGUCCCAGGGGAAGACGCAGAAAUCAAAACAUCAGUGUCCUUUGGUCCAGUCUGGGCAGUUGGGGGCACAGGUGCCCUGGGAGGCUGGGGGCUGAGCAGGUGACAGGGUGCCUGGGGUUCAGGCAAUGGGGGGACCCCUGGUGCAAGGGGUUCAUGAACCAUGAAUGGCUUUCCAGGACAAGGAUGUCUCCCCAGCGGCCUCUGAGGCCCCAGGAGGAAGCAGAGAUGGGCCCUGGGACCCUCCUCCCCCCCAGGUACCAUGACAAUGUGGUGCCGGGAGAAGCCAUCUGGAAGCUCGGUGAUGUAGCACCAGUAUGUGGUCUUCUGGCUGGGGAUCAGGAUGUCCGGGGUGUGGAUCUCCAUGGAGUGCAUGUCCGAGGGCAAGGCCGGGACGGAGAUGUUGG